CGCCGUCGAACUCUCACGGAAAUUACCGGACUUUCUCGAAGUCGUUUCUAUCUCUACUCAAGUCGUUCUUCGUGGAUACACACGUAAUUUCAUCCUUUAAUUUCUUUUUUUUUUUUAUUUUUUUAUUUUUUUUUAAUUCGAUCAUUCAUAUUAUUAAUCUCAUAUUUCGCGUGUCUCAUAACGAAAUUUCUUCAGUUCUCUUUCGUUCGGAUUAAUGUCGUUUGUAAUUCGUUAAUUUUGUACUACUGUUGUAUUUUGAAUUUUGCAACGGUCCACUUGAUCCAACGAUCAACCGAGAGAAGAAAAAAUGGACAACGACGAUGAAAGCAACGAAGUUGGAAUGACGUACUGGUUAAAGAAAAAGAGGAUGUAGCGAGAAAGCCGUAAAUAAAGAUUAUUCCGAGGUCCUACCAUCGGUAUGUGCCGCUACAACAAGAGACGCUUUUUCUCUGCACAACAUAAAAAUUCUAAUUUACAAAUCACCUGCACGAGAAGAUAGCGCAAAAGGUCGAUUGCUGCCACUUUUGUGACGUAACUCGAUUUUAUAAAGCUCUAAUUUAUCGAUUAUCGAUAUUUAAUUUUCUUUACGAAUUCGCUCGACAGAAAUAAUCUCAAUAUUUAUAAUGGUUAAGUAAAGAAUAACAUAUGGAUAUAAUUAGAAGAUGUGGAGGAGAUACAGAGUUUGACAAAACUGUUAUUAUUUGUUAUAUGCAAUAAAAGAAAAGGUAGUUAGGAAUGUGAUUGAUUGUUUUAAUAAAUUUAAGGAUUAAAAAUCUCAAACAUUUAGAAGAUAUUAUUCAUAAUUCCAAAUUCACAAAGAAGUAAUAGUGUGAUACCCGAAGAAAAGGUGGUGGUUAGUUUCAAUAUUUCAUAGAUUUUCUUUCAACAAACGCAGCCCAGGUUACCCAAUUUGUUAUUGAAAAUACAAUAAUCGCCAAUUAGUCUCUCUCCCUCUCUCUUUAUCAUACUUUCCGAUAAAAGUUUAAAUUCCGACUUACUUAACACAUAGAUGUGGCCUAAUUGACCAACUGCGCGCUCGACUCCUUGCGACCUUCAAUUCCUAAUUACAAUUACCUUCGGGUGUUGUCGGCGUCAUGGGCUUCCGCGAGGAUCUCACCGCUAAAACGCAUAAAAAAAAAAAAACAAGGUCAUUUAAACAUCAAAAUUGUCAUAUUGGUUAUAAACUAUUAUGAGCAUAAAGCAAAUUUUUUUCAAAUUUACUCCUUUAAAGAAAAGUCCGAUACAAGAAUAAAUCAAUUAUAAUGUAUCAGUAUGUAAAAACAAAACAAGCUUCAUUCCUCGUUUGGCUCAUGUCCAUAAAUGUUAGGCAAAAAUUUAUAUUCUAACGUGAUAAAAUAUGUAGAUUUAAAAUACAUGUUUAGAAGUACAAGUCGUAUCUUACAAAAUGGAUAUGAGCAAUGACGAAGAAAAGCAUUUUUAUUUUUUACCUAAAUUUUUUUUAUGUGUAUCUCUUUUAAAAACAUCACAUUAUUUCUAAUAAAAGUGUGUUAUUUAGACGUACAUAGCUGACACGAUCUUAGCAAAAAUUAAGGAGAAAAAAAAGCCAAGAAGCGGAA